rnacentral:rRNA from 1 species
CCUACGGGAGGCAGCAGUGGGGAAUUUUGGACAAUGGGCGAAAGCCUGAUCCAGCGACGCCGCGUGUGCGAUGAAGGCCUUUGGGUCGUAAAGCACUGUCGACAGGGACGAAAACUCGGUGGAUAACACCCACCGAGCUUGACUGUACCUGUGGAGGAAGCACCGGCUAACUCUGUGCCAGCAGCCGCGGUAAUACAGAGGGUGCGAACGUUGCUCGGAAUUACUGGGCGUAAAGCGCGUGUAGGCGGUCUGUUAAGUUGGUAGUGAAAUCCCAUGGCUCAACCAUGGAAGUGCUGCCAAAACUGGCAGGCUGGAGUGCCGGAGAGGGUGGCGGAAUUCCCAGUGUAGAGGUGAAAUUCGUAGAUAUUGGGAGGAACACCGGUGGCGAAGGCGGCCACCUGGACGGUAACUGACGCUAAGACGCGAAAGCGUGGGGAGCA